GGGGUUGACAUGGAUUUGACGGCGAGAUGAAAUGGUACGUAAGCAUGCGGAGCCUCGUCUGCUAUCUCCAUAAACGAAGUGGACAGAAAUUUAAUUGGCGAAAACAACUACGCUCUCGCUGCCUAAUCGAAGUACAGUAGAUUACUGGCUUUAUCCCGUCACCAGGUGACAGGACGAGACAUCGCUCCAAUGAUGUUGUUCCGAAUCGGAGGGUCAAGCGGUGCAGGAAAAUCGGAAAUAGCCUGUAUAAGCCCCAGUGUGCAGGUGAAAUUUUAGGGGAUAAGGUAUCGGUUGGUAGUCCGGUUCUUGCUGAUGCCCGAAAACAUUGUCCGGAAUAAGCAUGUAGAAAGCGUAUGGUUUCCUUGUGCGGACGUGGGUUCGAAUCCCACCAGCUCCACC
rnacentral:tmRNA from 1 species